UUCCUACGGGAGGCAGCAGUGAGGAAUAUUGCGCAAUGGGGGAAACCCUGACGCAGCAACGCCGCGUGGGUGAAGAAGGCCUUCGGGUCGUAAAGCCCUUUCGGACGGGACGAACGCUCCGCGGGGAUAAUCCGCGGAGUCUGACGGUACCGUAGGAAGAAGCACCGGCUAACUCCGUGCCAGCAGCCGCGGUAAUACGGAGGGUGCAAGCGUUGUUCGGAAUUACUGGGCGUAAAGCGCGUGUAGGCGGCCUUGUAAGUCAGAUGUGAAAGCCCCCGGCUUAACCGGGGAAGUGCAUCUGAAACUGCUUGGCUUGAGUACGGGAGAGGGAGGCGGAAUUCCCAGUGUAGAGGUGAAAUUCGUAGAUAUUGGGAGGAACACCGGUGGCGAAAGCGGCCUCCUGGACCGAUACUGACGCUGAGACGCGAAAGCGUGGGGAGCAAACAGGAUUAGAUACCCUGGUAGUCCACGCUGUAAACGAUGGGCACUAGGUGUGGGGGGUAUCCACUCCUCCCGUGCCGCAGCUAACGCAUUAAGUGCCCCGCCUGGGGAGUACGGCCGCAAGGCUAAAACUCAAAUGAAUUGACGGAA
rnacentral:rRNA from 1 species